UACGUAGGGACCAACCGUUGUUCGGAUUCAUUGGGCGUAAAGGGUGCGUAGGCGGUCGUGUAAGUCGGAUGUGAAAUCUCAGGGCUCAACCCUGAAACUGCAUUCGAUACUGCAUGGCUAGGGUACUGGAGAGGAGACUGGAAUUUACGGUGUAGCAGUGAAAUGCGUAGAUAUCGUAAGGAAGACCAGUGGCGAAGGCGAGUCUCUGGACAGUUACCGACGCUGAGGCACGAAGGUCAGGGGAGCAAACGGG
rnacentral:rRNA from 1 species